rnacentral:rRNA from 1 species
GAUGAACGCUGGCGGCAUGCCUAAUACAUGCAAGUCGAACGAGAGGAAGGAAAGCUUGCUUUUCUGAAUCUAGUGGCGAACGGGUGAGUAACACGUAGGUAACCUGCCCAUGUGCCCGGGAUAACUUCUGGAAACGGAUGCUAAAACCGGAUAGGUAGCAGACAAGCAUUUGACUGCUAUUAAAGUGGCUAAGGCCAUGAACAUGGAUGGACCUGCGGUGCAUUAGCUAGUUGGUGAGGUAACGGCCCACCAAGGCGACGAUGCAUAGCCGGCCUGAGAGGGCGGACGGCCACAUUGGGACUGAGACACGGCCCAAACCCCUACGGGAGGCAGCAGUAGGGAAUUUUCGUCAAUGGGGGGAACCCUGAACGAGCAAUGCCGCGUGAGUGAGGAAGGUCUUCGGAUCGUAAAGCACUGUUGUAAGAGGAAAACGACAUUCAUAGGGAAUGAUGAGUGAGUGAUGGUAUCUUACCAGAAAGUCACGGCUAAUUACGUGCCAGCCGCCGCAGUAA